rnacentral:rRNA from 1 species
AGAGUUUGAUCAUGGCUCAGAUUGAACGCUGGCGGCAUGCUUUACACAUGCAAGUCGAACGGCAGCGCGGGGGCAACCCUGGCGGCGAGUGGCGAACGGGUGAGUAAUGUAUCGGAACGUAUCCAGUAAUGGGGGAUAACCAGUCGAAAGAUUGGGUAAUACCGCAUACGCACGAGAGUGGAAAGUAGGGGAUCGCAAGACCUUACGUUAUUGGAGUGGCCGAUAUCUGAUUAGCUAGUUGGUGGGGUAAAGGCCUACCAAGGCGACGAUCAGUAGCAGGUCUGAGAGGAUGAUCUGCCACACUGGGACUGAGACACGGCCCAGACUCCUACGGGAGGCAGCAGUGGGGAAUUUUGGACAAUGGGGGAAACCCUGAUCCAGCCAUGCCGCGUGCAGGAAGAAGGCCUUCGGGUUGUAAACUGCUUUAGUCUAGGAAAAAGGGGUGCACGGUUAAUACCCGUGUGCUUUGAUGGUACUGAAGAAUAGCCCCGAAUCGCC